UACGGAGGGUGCAAGCGUUAUCCGGAUUUAUUGGGCGUAAAGAGCUCGUAGGCGGUUUGUCACGUCGGAUGUGAAAGCCCGGGGCUUAACCCCGGGUCUGCAUUCGAUACGGGCAGACUAGAGUGUGGUAGGGGAGAUCGGAAUUCCUGGUGUAGCGGUGAAAUGCGCAGAUAUCAGGAAGAACACCCGUAGCUAAGGCGGCUCUCUAGUACGGUACUGACGCUGAGACGCGAAAGCGUGGGGAGCGAACAGG
rnacentral:rRNA from 1 species